rnacentral:rRNA from 1 species
UACGUAGGGUGCAAGCGUUAAUCGGAAUUACUGGGCGUAAAGCGUGCGCAGGCGGUUUUGUAAGUCUGACGUGAAAUCCCGGGCUCAACCUGGGAAUUGCGUUGGAGACUGCAAGGCUAGAAUCUGGCAGAGGGGGGUAGAAUUCCACGUGUAGCAGUGAAAUGCGUAGAGAUGUGGAGGAACACCGAUGGCGAAGGCAGCCCCCUGGGUCAAGAUUGACGCUCAUGCACGAAAGGCGUGGGGAGCAAACGAGGAUUACGAAACCCUA